rnacentral:rRNA from 1 species
UACGUAGGGUGCGAGCGUUACUCGGAAUUACUGGGCGUAAAGUGUGCGCAGGCGGCCGCGCAAGUCGAGUGUGAAAGCCCCGGGCUUAACUUGGGAAUUGCGCUCGAAACUACGUGGCUGGAGUGUGGCAGAGGAAGGUGGAAUUCCAGGUGUAGCGGUGAAAUGCGUAGAGAUCUGGAGGAACACCGAUGGCGAAGGCAGCCUUCUGGGCCAACACUGACGCUGAGUGAGCGAAAGCCAGGGGAGCAAACGGG